rnacentral:lncRNA from 1 species
ACCUUCACAUUACUAUUCUCUCUCCCGAGGGUCAACUCCACCAUGCUUUUAAGAAUAGCUUUUAAGGCUAUUAACCAGGGUGGACUUACAUCUGUCGCUGUCAGAGGAAAGGGCCGUGCAGUUAUCGUCACACAGAAGAGAGCACCUGUCAAAUUACUGGAUUCCAGCACGGUGACUCAUUUGUUCAAGAUGACUGAAAGCAUUGGCUGUGUGGUGACAGGAGUGACAGCUGACGGCAGAUCCCAGGUACAGAGGGCACACUAUGAGGCAGGUAAUUGGAAAUACAAAUAUGGUUAUGAUAUUUCUGUGGAUAUGCCAUGUAAAAGAAUUGCUGAUACUUCUCAAGUCUACACACAGAAUGCUGAAAUGAGGCCACUUGGCUGCUGGAUGAUUUUAAUUGGUAUCAUGAAGAACAAGGCCCUCAGGUGUACGACUGUGAUCCCGCAGGCUACGACUUGUGGCUUUAAAGCCACGGCGCCGGGAGUUAGACAAAGUCAGCUUCCUUGAAAAAAAGAAGUGGAGAAGAAAUUUGAUUGGACAUUUGGACAGUGGAAACUGCAUUUCUAUGCCUGUCUGGUGCUCUGUUGAUUGAUUUCAAACCUUCAGAAGUAUAGAAGUUGGAGUAGUUACAGUUGAAAAUCCUAAAUCCAGGAUUCUUACAGAAGCAGAGAUAGACGCUCGCCUCGUUGCUCUAGCACUCUAGCAGAGAGAGUC